CUUUUAUGUAUGGUUGCGAGAAGAGGCUCUUUACAUUCUUAUAAAACAAGAAGGAAAUUUGAAGGACUCAGAUAGUAGAAUCAUAAAAAACUCAAAAUACAAAAUAAGAAUAAAAUAUAUAAACUUAAAAUAUGAAUUGAAAAUCCUAUUUGAGAGAUUCCCGACACCAUAAGAUAAAGAUCAAAUGGAAAAAAGCUAAUACAUAAUGCCAGACUUCAAUAAACCUAUUUUAAUCUAAAAAGCACCAUAAAUCAAUAUCUAAAUUUAGUUCCCUUGGUUGUAGGGUUUUUAAUGUAUUAAUCCAGUACCAAUUUCUUAAUGAGGUUGCCACCCCUCCAAUAAUUUUCAAUUUUUUCUAUAUCUAAAAAAUAAAAAUCUUGCCAAUUAAAUUUAUUGCACAUAUUGCAAUGAAUAGGGACUAUAUGUUUAUUAAAUUUUUUUUGAAUAUUAUUUUGAUGUUCCAAAAUGCGUUCUUUUAAUUUUCUGCAAGUCCGCCCUACAUAUUGUUUUCCGCAGGGGCAUUGCAGGAUAUAUAUUAUAUUUCGAGUCUCGCAAUUUUUAUUAGAUUUUAUAUUAAACUCUUUUCCUGUUGUGGUACUUUUAAAUUUUUUUACAUUUAAUAAUCUCUGGGUUCUACAAGCUUUACAUUUAUUACAUGAAUGAAAACCUUUUCUACUUUCUAUUUUCAUAUUUCUAUGUGGAUUUUUUAGGGCAUAACUAGGUGCUAAAAUGUUUUUAAAAUUUUUCGCCUUUCUGAAAAUUACUGGUGCCUUUUUUGGGAGUACUCUCCCCAAAAUAGGAUCCUUCAAAAGAAU